UUGCUCCGCUGACGACCGGCGCACGGGUGCGCACCGCGUAUGGAACCUACCUUCUACAGGGGAAUAGCCCAGGGAAACUUGGAUUAAUGCCCCGUGGUACCGUUUUACGGCAUCGUUUAACGGUUAAAGCCUUCGGGCGGUAGAAGAUGGCCAUGCGUCCCAUUAGUUUGUUGGUAAGGUAACGGCUUACCAAGACUACGAUGGGUAGGGGCCCUGAGAGGGGGAUCCCCCACACUGGUACUGAGACACGGACCAGACUCCUACGGGAGGCAGCAGUGAGGAAUAUUGGACAAUGGAGGAGACUCUGAUCCAGCCAUGCCGCGUGCAGGAAGAAUGCCCUAUGGGUAGUAAACUGCUUUUAUACGGGAAGAAAAAGGACCACGUGUGGUCUGUUGACGGUACCGUAAGAAUAAGGACCGGCUAACUCCGUGCCAGCAGCCGCGGUAAUACGGAGGGUCCGAGCGUUAUCCGGAAUUAUUGGGUUUAAAGGGUCCGUAGGCGGGCCGAUAAGUCAGGGGUGAAAGUCUGCCGCUCAACGGUAGAACUGCCUUUGAUACUGUCGGUCUUGAGUUAUAGUGAAGUUGCCGGAAUAUGUAGUGUAGCGGUGAAAUGCAUAGAUAUUACAUAGAACACCGAUUGCGAAGGCAGGUGACUAACUAUAUACUGACGCUGAUGGACGAAAGCGUGGGGAGCGAACAGGAUUAGAUACCCUGGUAGUCCACGCCGUAAACGAUGGAUACUAGCUGUCCGGGGUCUUGAGACCUGGGCGGCCAAGCGAAAGUGAUAAGUAUCCCACCUGGGGAGUACGUUCGCAAGAAUGAAACUCAAAGGAAUUGACGGGGGCCCGCACAAGCGGUGGAGCAUGUGGUUUAAUUCGAUGAUACCCGGAGAACCUUACCAGGGCUUAAAUGCAUUUUGACAGGGGUAGAGAUACCUUUUCCUUCGGGCAAUUUGCAAGGUGCUGCAUGUUGUCGUCAGCUCGUGCCGUGAGGUUCAGGUUAAGUCCUAUAACGAGCGCAACCCCUACCGUUAGUUGCCAGCAUGUCAUGAUGGGGACUCUAACGGGACUGCCGGUGCAAACCGUGAGGAAGGUGGGGAUGACGUCAAAUCAUCACGGCCCUUACGUCCUGGCCCACACACGUGCUACAAUGCCAGGUACAGAGAGCAGCCACGUCCCAAGCCGGAGCGAAUCUAUAAAACCUGUCACAGUUCGGAUCGGGGUCUGCAACUCACCC
rnacentral:rRNA from 1 species